UGCAUAUCAAAAGCGGAGGAAAAGAAACCAACAGGGAUUGCCUUAGUAGCGGCGAGUGAAGCGGCAAAAGCUCAAAUUUGAAAUCUGGCACCUUCGGUGUCCGAGUUGUAAUUUGAAGAUUGUAACCUUGGGGUUGGCUCUUGUCUAUGUUUCUUGGAACAGGACGUCACAGAGGGUGAGAAUCCCGUGCGAUGAGAUGCCCAAUCCUAUGUAAGGUGCUUUCGAAGAGUCGAGUUGUUUGGGAAUGCAGCUCUAAGUGGGUGGUAAAUUCCAUCUAAAGCUAAAUAUUGGCGAGAGACCGAUAGCGAACAAGUACAGUGAUGGAAAGAUGAAAAGAACUUUGAAAAGAGAGUGAAAAAGUACGUGAAAUUGUUGAAAGGGAAGGGUUUGAGAUCAGACUCGAUAUUUUGUGAGCCUUGCCUUCGUGGCGGGGUGACCCGCAGCUUAUCGGGCCAGCAUCGGUUUGGGCGGUAGGAUAAUGGCGUAGGAAUGUGACUUUGCUUCGGUGAAGUGUUAUAGCCUGCGUUGAUGCUGCCUGCCUAGACCGAGGACUGCGAUUUUAUCAAGGAUGCUGGCAUAAUGAUCCCAAACCGCCCGUCUUGAAACACGGAC
rnacentral:rRNA from 1 species